GUGGGGAAUCUUGCGCAAUGGGCGAAAGCCUGACGCAGCCAUGCCGCGUGUAUGAUGAAGGUCUUAGGAUUGUAAAAUACUUUCACCGGGGAAGAUAAUGACGGUACCCGGAGAAGAAGCCCCGGCUAACUUCGUGCCAGCAGCCGCGGUAAUACGAAGGGGGCUAGCGUUGCUCGGAAUUACUGGGCGUAAAGGGCGCGUAGGCGGACAGUUAAGUCAGAGGUGAAAGCCCAGGGCUCAACCUUGGAAUUGCCUUUGAUACUGGCUGUCUUGAGUUCGGGAGAGGUGAGUGGAAUGCCGAGUGUAGAGGUGAAAUUCGUAGAUAUUCGGCGGAACACCAGUGGCGAAGGCGACUCACUGGCCCGAUACUGACGCUGAGGCGCGAAAGCGUGGGGAGCAAACAGGAUUAGAUACCCGGGUAGUCC
rnacentral:rRNA from 1 species